CUGAUCAUAUCAAGAUUCAGCUUCCCAUGAUUACAGAAGAUAUCCCAUAUCUGAUCAUAUCAAGAUUCAGCUUCCCAUGAAGGAAAACUCUAUGUGUGUGGAGAUAAGAAAGAUAACUUGAAUUUCUUUUUCCCUUCCUCUUCCUCUGCUGGAAGUUCAGCAACACCAUCUUGUUCUCUUCUGUCUCUUUUUGUGGAAGAAAAGAGAAUGGGGAAGACACCUUGAAGGGAACUUUCCAUGUCAAAGACUCUAACUUGCUGGGAUUGAGUCACUCUUCAAGAACAUACAAAGGCAGGAUAUGCAGACAUUUUGGAAAAAGUACUUGAGACCUCAGUGGUUGCAAGAACUCCUUGACCAGUGUUUCCCAAAAUCUGUUCCUUGAUAUAUCCCUAUUCGGCAAGAGCCAUGAGGAUGAAGAUUUAUCUGCUGGAAUCUCCAGUGUCUGGACCCGGCACAAAAUUCGUUUUUCUCCUGGUUUCAAGAUUCUACAGUAAUUCCAGACGUGACAUCAUCCAGACAAGAAAAUGUUUAGAGGAAGAAGAAACCAUUUUCUGUCUGUAUCUUUGUUAAAGCAAGUUAACUUUUCCUAGCUGCCCCCAACAGACUUUUCUUCAUGGUUCAGUGGCCAGAAUUAUCAUUUGCCCUGAACCAAAGACACCUAAAGUGCGUAGAACCACUUUGAUUGGCUUGGAACAUCAUUGUCAACUCCCUCAACCUCCAUCCCUGGGCUGGCCCGGGGACCAGCCUUCCCUAGACACAUGGCUCUCCGGACGUGGUUGUUUAUACUAACAAAACCAAGUCUGUGAGGAAGUAAGAGCGGAAGAAAAGAAUGUUAAAGAGGCACCCAACAGUAAUGCUACAUGGAAUGGAUUUUCUAAAUACUAAAAAAUUAAAAGUGCAUUUAUGAUGAGAAUAGAACCUUAGGUUCCAGGACAAAUUCUCAAGAGAACUUGGAUCCAAGUAAAGUAAUUUUUGACACUUCCUCAUCACCUCCCUCACAGAUGACCCUCUCCUCCCUCACAAAUACCAAUCCCCCUCCCAAUGUUUCACCUUCAAGCUAACCUCUAGUUGCCCGGGAUUCCCAAGAUGUCUCAUUUAGACCUCUACUCCUGCAGCCAGACCUCACUCACAUCUUCCAGCCAUUACUUCUCCUCCUAUCAAAAAUUACCUAGAAUCCCACUUAUUUUUUAGAACACUAUUCUCAGCACUCCAAUAGCUUACCUCUUUUUAUUUUCUCAUUUUCUUUUAAAUUGUUUGCAGGAAACCUGGUCAUACUAUGUGAACAAAGACAUGUACAUUUUGACAAGUUCCUAUGGAGUAAAACUAGCCUCAAUUCAGAAAUACACUUUAUCUCUGAGAAUGGGUGUCUAUGAUCCUCAGACAGGUUGAAGGGGAAAUAUGAGGGAAGGGAAAUUUUCCUAGAGGCCCUCACACAAUCAUCUCUUCCAUCAUGGUCUUUCUCUUUCCUGUGCUCUGAAUAGUCUGUUCUUCUUGUAUCGAGGGCAGAUGACGUAUUUAUAACAUUUCUGGCAGCUGGAAAGCUACGGAGGGAGGGUAAAGAAAGAGGAGUUGUGAGACG
rnacentral:lncRNA from 1 species